CCUUCGAUAGCUCAGUUGGUAGAGCGGUGGACUGUAGCGGUUAAUGUAUAUUCAGAGAUAUCCAUAGGUCGCUGGUUCGAAUCCGGCUCGAAGGA
rnacentral:tRNA from 1 species